UACGUAGGGGGCAAGCGUUAUCCGGAUUUACUGGGUGUAAAGGGGGCGCAGACGGCGAUGCAAGCCAGGAGUGAAAGCCCGGGGCCCAACCCCGGGACUGCUCUUGGAACUGCGUGGCUGGAGUGCAGGAGGGGCAGGCGGAAUUCCUGGUGUAGUGGUGAAAUGCGUAGAUAUUAGGAGGAACACCAGUGGCGAAGGCGGCCUGCUGGACGAUGACUGACGUUGAGGCUCGAAAGCGUGGGGAGCAAACAGG
rnacentral:rRNA from 1 species